rnacentral:rRNA from 1 species
GAUGAACGCUGGCGGCGUGCUUAACACAUGCAAGUCGAACGAAGCACUUUCUUACGAUCCCUUCGGGGUGACGAGAUAGUGACUGAGUGGCGGACGGGUGAGUAACGCGUGGGUAACCUGCCUUAUACAGGGGGAUAACAGUUGGAAACGGCUGCUAAUACCGCAUAAGCGCACAGUACCGCAUGGUACAGUGUGAAAAACUCCGGUGGUAUAAGAUGGACCCGCGUCUGAUUAGCUAGUUGGUGAGGUAACGGCCCACCAAGGCGACGAUCAGUAGCCGAUCUGAGAGGAUGAACGGCCACAUUGGGACUGAGACACGGCCCAGACUCC